rnacentral:rRNA from 1 species
GACGAACGCUGUCGGCGUGCUUAACACAUGCAAGUCGAACGGAAAGGCCCUGCUUUUGUGGGGUGCUCGAGUGGCGAACGGGUGAGUAACACGUGAGUAACCUGCCCUUGACUUUGGGAUAACUUCAGGAAACUGGGGCUAAUACCGGAUAGGAGCUCCUGCUGCAUGGUGGGGGUUGGAAAGUUUCGGCGGUUGGGGAUGGACUCGCGGCUUAUCAGCUUGUUGGUGGGGUAGUAGCUUACCAAGGCUUUGACGGGUAGCCGGCCUGAGAGGGUGACCGGCCACAUUGGGACUGAGAUACGGCCCAGACUCCUACGGGAGGCAGCAGUGGGGAAUAUUGCACAAUGGGCGGAAGCCUGAUGCAGCAACGCCGCGUGCGGGAUGACGGCCUUCGGGUUGUAAACCGCUUUCGCCUGUGACGAAGCGUGAGUGACGGUAAUGGGUAAAGAAGCACCGGCUAACUACGUGCCGGCAGCCGCGGUGAUACGUAGGGUGCGAGCGUUGUCCGGAUUUAUUGGGCGUAAAGGGCUCGUAGGUGGUUGAUCGCGUCGGAAGUGUAAUCUUGGGGCUUAACCCUGAGCGUGCUUUCGAUACGGGUUGACUUGAGGAAGGUAGGGGAGAAUGGAAUUCCUGGUGGAGCGGUGGAAUGCGCAGAUAUCAGGAGGAACACCAGUGGCGAAGGCGGUUCUCUGGGCCUUUCCUGACGCUGAGGAGCGAAAGCGUGGGGAGCGAACAGGCUUAGAUACCCUGGUAGUCCACGCUGUAAACGGUGGGUACUAGGUGUGGGGUCCAUUCCACGGGUUCCGUGCCGUAGCUAACGCUUUAAGUACCCCGCCUGGGGAGUACGGCCGCAAGGCUAAAACUCAAAGGAAUUGACGGGGCCCCGCACAAGCGGCGGAGCAUGCGGAUUAAUUCGAUGCAACGCGUAGAACCUUACCUGGGUUUGACAUGGAUCGGGAGUGCUCAGAGAUGGGUGUGCCUCUUUUGGGGUCGGUUCACAGGUGGUGCAUGCCUGUCGUCAGCUCGUGUCGUGAGAUGUUGGGUUAAGUCCCGCAACGAGCGCAACCCUUGUUCACUGUUGCCAGCACGUUAUGGUAGGGACUCAGUGGAGACCGCCGGGGUCAACUCGGAGGAAGGUGGGGAUGACGUCAAGUCAUCAUGCCCCUUAUGUCCAGGGCUUCACGCAUGCUACAAUGGCUGGUACAGAGAGUGGCGAGCCUGUGAGGGUGAGCGAAUCUCGGAAAGCCGGUCUCAGUUCGGAUUGGGGUCUGCAACUCGACCUCAUGAAGUCGGAGUCGCUAGUAAUCGCAGAUCAGCAACGCUGCGGUGAAUACGUUCCCGGG